rnacentral:rRNA from 1 species
GACGAACGCUGGCGGCGUGCUUAACACAUGCAAGUGGAGCGACGAACCGGGCUUCGGCCCGGGGCAAAGCCGCGAACGGGUGAGUAACACGUGGGUAACCUGCCCCGAUGACCGGGACAACCCGAGGAAACUCGGGCUAAUACCGGAUGUGUACCGCGCUCAUAAGGGCACGGUGGAAAGGUAGCUUCGGCCUCCGCAUCCGGAUGGGCCCGCGGCCCAUUAGCUUGUUGGUGGGGUAACGGCCUACCAAGGCUGCGAUGGGUAGCUGGUCUGAGAGAACGAUCAGCCACACUGGGACUGAGACACGGCCCAGACUCCUACGGGAGGCAGCAGUGGGGAAUCUUGCGCAAUGCGCGAAAGCGUGACGCAGCAACGCCGCGUGGGGGAAGAAGGCCUUCGGGUUGUAAACCCCUUUCAGUUGGGACGAAGCUCUGCCGGUGAAUAGCCGGCUGGAGUGACGGUACCUUCAGAAGAAGCCCCGGCUAACUACGUGCCAGCAGCCGCCGUAAGAC